rnacentral:rRNA from 1 species
UGGGGAAUAUUGCACAAUGGAGGGAACUCUGAUGCAGCGACGCCGCGUGAACGAAGAAGGCUUUCGAGUCGUAAAGUUCUUUUAUAUGGGAAGAUAAUGACGGUACCAUAAGAAAAAGCCCCGGCUAACUACGUGCCAGCAGCCGCGGUAAUACGUAGGGGGCUAGCGUUGUCCGGAAUCACUGGGCGUAAAGGGUUGGCAGGCGGAAAUGCAAGUCAGGUGUAAAAGGCAGUAGCUUAACUACUGUAAGCAUUUGAAACUGCAUAUCUUGAGAAGAGUAGAGGUAAGUGGAAUUUUUAGUGUAGCGGUGAAAUGCGUAGAUAUUAAAAAGAAUACCGGUGGCGAAGGCGACUUACUGGGCUCAUUCUGACGCUGAGGAACGAAAGCGUGGGUAGCAAACAGG